AUUGAACGCUGGCGGCAGGCUUAACACAUGCAAGUCGAGAGAGCGGCGGACGGGUGAGUAAUGUCUGGGAAACUGCCUGCUGGAGGGGGAUAGCUACUGGCAACGGUAGCUAAUACCGCAUACCAUCAGAUGUGCCCAGAUGUGAUUAGCUAGUAGGUGGGGUAAUGGCUCAACUAGGCGACGAUCCCUAGCUGGUCUGAGAGGAUGACCAGCCACACUGGAACUGAGACACGGUCCAGACUCCGACGGUAUGCAGAAGUGGGGAAGAUUGCACAAUGGGCUCAAGCCUGAUGCAGCCAUGCCGCGUGUGUGAAGAAGGCCUUCGGGUUGUAAAGCACUUUCAGCGAGGAGGCGUUACUCGCAGAAGAAGCACCGGCUAACUCCGUGCCAGCAGCCGCGGUAAUAC
rnacentral:rRNA from 1 species